rnacentral:rRNA from 1 species
AUUGAACGCUGGCGGCAGGCUUAACACAUGCAAGUCGAGCGAGCGGCGGACGGGUGAGUAAUGUCUGGGACACUGCCUGAUGGAGGGGGAUAACUACUGGAACCGGUAGCUAAUACCGCAUACCAUCAGCUGUGCCCAGGUGGGAUGAGCUAGUAGGUGGGGUAAUGGCUAACCAAGUCGACGAUCCCUAGCUGGUCUGAGAGGAUGACCAGCCACACUGGAACUGAGACACGGUCCAGACUCCUACGGGAGGCAGCAGUGGGGAAUAUUGCACAAUGGGCGCAAGCCUGACGCAGCAAUGCCGCGUGUGUGAAGAAGGCCUUCGGGUUGUAAAGCACUGUCAGCGGGGAGGCGGUACUCGCAGAAGAAGCAACGGCUAACUCCGUGCCAGCAGCCGCGGUAAUUC